rnacentral:rRNA from 1 species
UACGAAGGACCCGAGCGUUAUCCGGAUUUAUUGGGUUUAAAGGGUGCGUAGGUGGGCAGGUAAGUCAGUGGUGAAAUCUCUGGGCUUAACUCAGAAACUGCCAUUGAUACUAUCUGUCUUGAAUACCGUGGAGGUCAGCGGAAUAUGUCAUGUAGCGGUGAAAUGCUUAGAUAUGACAUAGAACACCAAUUGCGAAGGCAGCUGGCUACACGAAUAUUGACACUGAUGCACGAAAGCGUGGGGAUCAAACAGG